GGGGUGGUGGCUCAGUGGUAGAGCGCUCACCUAGCAUGUGAGAGAUCCUGGGUUCAAUCCUCAUCACCACA
rnacentral:tRNA from 1 species